GAUGAAGAACGUAGCGAAAUGCGAUAAGUAAUGCGAAUUGCAGAAUCCGUGAGUCAUCGAAUCUUUGAACGCACAUUGCGCCCCUUGGUAUUCCGAGGGGCAUGCCUGUUCGAGCGUCAUAUUAACCACUCCCGCUUGCGGGGUCUUGGGCUUCGCCUCCGGGCGGGCCUUAAAAUCAGUGGCGGUGCCGUCGGGCUCUACGCGUAGUAAAUUUUCUCGCGAUAGGGUCCCGGUGGAUGCUUGCCAACAACCCCCAACUUCUUAAGGUUGACCUCGGAUCAGGUAGGGAUACCCGCUGAACUUAAGCAUAUCAAUAAGCGGAGGA
rnacentral:misc_RNA from 1 species